AACCUUAUGGACCUGCGGGCGUAUACCUGCGGAGGGAUCAUCAUUGAAAAGUUUGCAAGACUUUAUUGGAGUUUUUGCGAAACAAACAAUUUAUUUAACACCCAAAAAGUUUAAAGUAAGCUUAGGCUGCUUUUACUUGACAAAAAUGAGUGGUUGCCUGACUGCAGAAAAAGUGUUUUGGUGUUGGGAAAUUGAAAACAACUUUUAACAACGGAUCU
rnacentral:misc_RNA from 1 species